ACUUGGCCUUGUAAAGCUGGUGAGGAAUUUGUAUUUUACUCUGAAAUCAAAGAUGUGACAUUUGACCUCAUCAGAGGCAGAAGGGUGCUAUGAUUUGAUGUGCAUUUUAAAUGCCCAUUCUAGCAACUGUGUAAAGGGGGUCUGGGGACCCAUGCGAGGAUGGGGACACUGACGGCCCUUGAGCCCACCUGUUUUGAAUUUCGCUGCGGUCCUCAAGGCCGCACAUCCUGUGAAGCACAUUGACCAGGAGCUCCGGGAGUUCUCAUGAGGUCAAAGUGUGAAAGAAGGCUGUGAGGACAAUCUCCCUUCAAAGUGGAGCAAUAACAGCAGAGAAUGCCUGGCGGUGCUUCAAAUCCUGACUCCCGCAGAUAGAGGUGGACCCCCGUUCCCCUGCCCCUGUAACACCUGCAAUAUGGGAGCUGUUUGCCUGUUUUCCCCACUGGCUGGCCUCUCAGAAGGUAGAAAUAUUUUUAUGUCUUAUUCAUCUUUGUAUCCUAAGCACAUAGCUCAAAAUUGGUGCUCAAAAUAUUUGUUGCAUAAAUGAGGAAAUGUUCAGUCCUUAGGUAUAUAGGCUUUUUUGCUUCAAAGAUACUUAGCUCAGCAACUGCAUUUUGAGCAUCAUCACUGUUUCUAUUUCUGAAUCUAAUUGCUAUUGCACAAAACUGUUCAGGGCAGAAACUGCAGUAAGUGGAAUGGUCCAGCGACUCCCUUCCAAUGCAAAUGCUCCAUGCUCUUAGGAAACUGCUGCAGUCUCAAAAGGGUGUAGGCCUCCGGAAUUUUAGGCAAGAAAAAGAAAUUACUGUAAGGUAUGCUGCCUGGAAGAGUCUUACCCCACUGUUGAUUCAAUCCCCUUUCUCCAGGAUUGCUACCUCCUCUCUCCUGCAAUUCAGAUCAAUGACAUUAAAAAAUCACAAAUCUAGGAAAUCCAGGACAGUCCCAGGGGCGUAUGAAUUACUGCACAGGCCAAAAACCAAGGCCCAAGGGGACAGAGUUCUUUAGGUCCUGCCAGAUGCUGGAUGUCCUUCCUGGUGGCAAGGUCGCGGGGUCAUGGGACACACCACACGGAGAGCAGCCAACCAUGAAUUUACCUGAAACUUCGGUUGACGUACGUUCUGUGCUUACCCUCCACUCCCUCUGGGGUAAUGAGUCCUGGGAGUUUAUUACUUGCUGGAACCGAAAUAGAUUCCUUUCACGUACGUAACCUGAAAGCCCUCUUGUUUCAAGGUCACCAGCCCCUUCCCCAACCAGCGCUUCCAGGAUGGAGUGAACAAGGACUUGCUCCCGAGCCCUGCGCGUCCCGUGGGGCUUUGUGGGCCUCCAGCAGCCCCUGUCAGCCUUCCGCUUUCCAGACUGAAGGAGACACAUGGUGUCUGGAGGAAGGCCGCGGACAUAAAUACCGAAUGAUGAUUAUGGAGCCCAUGAUGGAAAGAGCUGCCUUUUUAAAAGAUUUCAGAUUCUAGCCAUGAAUCUGAGAAGUGAGAAUUACUAAUAAAUCAUUGCCAAACAGAGUGGAGAGACAACAGACAAGAGAGUUGAGGUCCCCCCUGGAGCCAGCGAGGUGCACUGUUUCCAGAGUUUCCCUCAGGGGGUUCUGUUUCCAAGUGAGGAGCACCCCUUUGUGUGUGUGGCAGGCUGCCUUUGCGAGGUGGCUGGAUGCUGCCGAGCCUUUCUGAGGCCUUGUGUGGUGAGCCUGUUAGGAGGAGGAAGGAGAGAAGGAAGAUCUGAUAGAGAAAGAGGAAGCCUCCUCAGUGCCCGGCUCCUGUUUGAUGCCAGGCGCUGCUCUGGGUGGUCUGUGCAGGUCAUGUCCCUGAGCCUCCGUUAUGACCCUUUGAAGGAGCAGAAAGUGAGGAAAAAGGGGUUCCAGGAGGCUGGGGAGCAUGUCCAGGAUGCUAGAAGCAGUGGGUCUGGACUUCAGAGCCAGGCCUGUUGGAGCCCAAAGCCCGUUGUGUUCGCGGCACUGUCCUGGGCCCCCUCCCUAGAGGGCCGUGUGGCCCCAUGUGACCCUCCUGCCCUCCCAGAGGCAUGGUUUUUGCCCCUGUUCAGGACAACAGGAUGGUUCCCCUUCCUGCCUCCUCCAUCCUCCACAGACUUUUAUGGCCAGAGCGCACCCAGGCCUGCAGGUGCUACAGGAGCUGGCCGGGCACCCCGCCCUCCUUUCUUUUCCUGGCCUUACCUCCUUGCAGGAAGCAUGGGAACAAGAUGGCAGCAGUGACUCAUCGCUAGAAGAAUGAAAUCUUGAGUCGGGACAGCCCCGAGUGCGUGGCUGGAUUCUCUGACAAUGGAAGAAUGUCCCCUGAGGUUUGAAGGUCAUUACCACUCAUGGCUCUAAAAACGAAGGCUGAGAAAGGACCGCAGCCAGGGCUGGGGGUGGGAGUGCAGACUAGGGGGAGCAGGAGUGGAGACCACAACACUUUCCAGGGUGCACAAGGAAGAAGAAAGGGCUGGGAGACCGUUCUGUGCCUGUAAUUGGAGCUCUUCAUAAUGUUAGACAAUUCCCAAGUGUUUUUUAAUUGGCAGAUUAACCUGGCCUUCACAGAUGGUGAACUUUCUCCACAUCACAGGCCAGGCAUGCAGAGGCCCUCACGUUUCAGUGGUUUAACCUGUGAAGUGCAUGAGGCAUUCUGCCCAAGCACACACUCGGGAAGGCUCCUGGGUCCUCACCCCAGGAGGCGUCAUGCUUCUGCUGAGUAACAGAUGACAUUUGUUAUUCUCUCUGCGGCUCCUUCUCCUCCCCCAGGCUCAUCCAGGGCCUGACCGUUGGGCUCCCCAGAAAGACAGCUGUCCAGGCAGCUCUGCCAGCCUGGGCUCCUGCACCGUGGCUCAGGGGUGUCCCCCCUGCCCUCGGGUGAUGUGGCCCAAGCACAGCCAGCUUCUAAGCUGGGGAGGCGCCUAGGGGUGGGCAAGCCAGAGGCUGGGGCCUGGGGCUUUGGAAGGACAGCAGACACCUCUGAGGGUACCCUCAUUCCUGAAUGUUUCACUGACCACUUCUGGGGACCAAAUUGUAUCCCCCCCAACCCCCCCCCAAAAUCAUAUUGUUACAUGAGAGUAGGUUCUUGCCUUGUGCAGGAAAGAAUUCAAGAGUGAGCCAUAGUAAAGUGAAGGCAAGUUUAUUUAGGGAGAUACAGGCUCCAUAGACAGAAUGUGGUCUGUUUCAGAAGGGAGAGAGUCCCCAAGGUGUUGAGAGUGGUUUUUAUGGGCUGGGUAAUUUUUAAAAUUUUUUUAUAUUUAAUUAAUUUAUUAUUGUAUUAUUUAAUUAUUUAAUUUUGGCAGUGGAGGGGAGGUA